rnacentral:rRNA from 1 species
GAUGAGCGCUGGCGGCGUGCCUAAUACAUGCAAGUCGAGCGAACAGACGAGGAGCUUGCUCCUCUGACGUUAGCGGCGGACGGGUGAGUAACACGUGGAUAACCUACCUAUAAGACUGGGAUAACUUCGGGAAACCGGUGCUAAUACCGGAUAAUAUAUUGAACCGCAUGGUUCAAUAGUGAAAGACGGUUUUGCUGUCACUUAUAGAUGGAUCCGCGCCGCAUUAGCUAGUUGGUAAGGUAACGGCUUACCAAGGCAACGAUGCGUAGCCGACCUGAGAGGGGGAUCGGCCACACUGGAACUGAGACACGGUCCAGGCUCCUACGGGUGGCAGCAGUAGGGAAUCUUCCGCAAUGGGCGAAAGCUUGACGGAGCAACGCCGCGUGAGUGAUGAAGGUCUUCGGAUCGUAAAACUCUGUUAUUAGGGAAGAACAAAUGUGUAAGUAACUAUGCACGUCUUGACGGUACCUGAUCAGAAAGCCACGGCUAACUACGUG